UGGGGAGCACUAGCAGGGUCAAGAUUGUAGUUUGUGUGAAAGCUACUGGACAUGUGAAGGCUCCAGGAACUAGGUGGCUUAGACGGAGCAACUCUCAAGGGGACAGAGAGAUGGCAUCACAGGACCAGAAUAGGUUAUUGCUUUGGCCCAUUUCCUGCAUGAGAAAUAAUGAAGUGUGAAAAAGAAAACAGACCGAGUGGAUCUCUAACAUUAGAACCCAGAACACUUAGAGAAGUGACUGAGACAUCCGGAUCCAGUCCAUACACAGCAGCUCAAGGUCACUGAAUGCAGGCAGUGAGAGAAAGCUGCCUGGAGAGCCCUCGAACACAUACCCUUCGACAGCCCAGCAAGCUACCGAGAGUAUCCCGCCCACACAACAGAGCUGGGCAAGCUACCCGUGGCAUAUUCGAUAUGCCAAAAACAGUAACAACAAGUCUCACAAUGGAGACGUUACUGGUGCCCGCUGGAGCAAAUUCAUGAACAACAGGAUGAUGGUGCUACAGUGUUACAUAUA